CAACCGUGGAGGGUCAUUGGAAACUGGGGAACNNNNNUGCAGAAGAGGAAAGUGGAAUUCCACGUGUAGCGGUGAAAUGCGUAGAGAUGUGGAGGAACACCAGUGGCGAAGGCGACUUUCUGGUCUGUAACUGACACUGAGGCGCGAAAGCGUGGGGAGCGAACAGGAUUAGAUACCCUGGUAGUCCACGCCGUAAACGAUGAGUGCUAAGUGUUAGAGGGUUUCCGCCCUUUAGUGCUGCAGCUAACGCAUUAAGCACUCCGCCUGGGGAGUACGGCCGCAAGGCUGAAACUCAAAGGAAUUGACGGGGGCCCGCACAAGCGGUGGAGCAUGUGNUUUAAUUCGAAGCAACGCGAAGAACCUUACCAGGUCUUGACAUCCUCUGACAACCCUAGAGAUAGGGCCUUCCCCUUUUGGGGGACAGAGUGACAGGUGGUGCAUGGUUGUCGUCAGCUCGUGUCGUGAGAUGUUGGGUUAAGUCCCGCAACGAGCGCAACCCUUGAUCUUAGUUGCCAGCAUUCAGUUGGGCACUCUAAGGUGACUGCCGGUGACAAACCGGAGGAAGGUGGGGAUGACGUCAAAUCAUCAUGCCCCUUAUGACCUGGGCUACACACGUGCUACAAUGGAUGGUACAAAGAGCCCGCAAACCCGCGAGGGUAAGCUAAUCUCGUAAAGCCAUUCUCA
rnacentral:rRNA from 1 species